AUCUCAAUAUCUCAUCCAAUUCUAUUCCUUAGUCCUCUCUCUCUUUCUCACUCAACUUCUCUCUUUCUCCCUCUCUCUGUCUAAGUUAUCAGCACAACAAUUAAAGAAUGGAAGGAGAAGCUGCAGCCGCCGUCCUUCAAACUCUAGUUCAAAACCUCAUCGACCUCUCCAAGAAAGAGAUCUCUCAAAUCCGAGGUCUCGACAAAGAUGCAGCAAAGCUAGCUGCGAGUCUCAAAACCAUCCAGAACUUCUUGAACGAUGCCGAGAAGCGUGACAUCACCAGCGAAGCUGUCAAGGGCUGGCUGGAGAAGCUUGAAGACGUAGCUUUUGAAGCUGACAAUGUUUUGGAUGAAAUCAACUAUCAUAUUCUCUCCAAACAAAUCAAGCCCGCCGAGCCCGAGAAGGCAAAGGUACCAUCAUGCUUCUCAUGCUUCAAGCAUAUUUCACGUUCUCGAAAUAUGGCUCUUAAAAUCAAAGAAAUCAAUGAGAAUUUGGAGUUCAUUAACAAAGAGGCCGCCAAGCUUGGCCUCGUAGAGAAGCUUGCUAAUGAGCCUGCUUUGGUUAUUGCUGCUUUGGAAACUGAUUCAUACACUCUUGAUCCAAUUUUUAUUGGAAGAGAUAAUGUUGAGUCGGAAAUAGUUGAGAUGAUUACCGAUAGCAUCACAACUGAUAAACGCGCAGUUUCCAUCAUUUCCAUUGUCGGGAUGGGGGGAUUGGGGAAGACGACAUUGACUAGGAAAGUCUUCAAUCGUCUGAAGAAUGAGAAUAGGUUUGGAUCACAAAUUUGGGUGCAUGUUUCCCCAAAUUUUGAUGCAAUAACUCUUUUCAAGAAAAUUCUCUUUAAAUUGACUUCUUAUCAAGUUGAAAUUGAGAGCAGGGAUGAUAUUCUUGCAAAGCUUCAAGAAGCUUUGAAAGACAAAACAUAUCUUCUUGUAUUUGAUGAUGUAUGGAAUGAAGAUCGUUCCAAAUGGGAAUAUUUUUUCAAUUCCUUGUUGGGAGUUAGUUGUGUCAAGGGAAAUGCCAUUGUUGUUACCACCAGAAGUACGAAGGUUGCUUCAAUUGUGAAACCAAUUCAUACACAUGAGUUGGAAGGCUUAUCAGAGGAAGAUUGUUGGUCGAUAAUCAAAGUUAAAACCUUUGGAGAAGGAAACGUUCCAUCAGAAUUUGAGACUAUUGGGAAAAGGAUUGCAAGAAGAUGUCAAGGUUUGCCAUUAGCUGCCAACGUAGUUGGGGGAAUAUUGAGCAAUCAAUCCGAGGGAAAAUGGCGUUCAAUCGAGGAGAAAUGGCUUGCACCAAAUGAAGGUGGAGAUAAUAUCACAAAAAUAUUAAGAUUGAGCUUUGAUAAUUUGUCUCUGCCAUUACUUAAGAAGUGCUUUGCUUACUGUGCGAUGUUUCCUAAAGGCUACAAAAUCGGCAAAAGGGAACUGAUUGAGAUGUGGAUGGCAGAAGGUUUUCUUCAAGCUGAUGAAAGGGAUGAGAUGGAGUCCGUGGGUGAAAUAUUUAUCAACAUUCUUCUGCACAACUCUUUACUGCAAGUUUCAGAGAGAGAUCGUUACGGAAAUGUAAAAAGUUGUGGCAUGCACGAUCUUGUGCACGAUCUGGCUUGUUCUGUUUCAAGUUCGUCUAACAGUACAGGUGGUAGCAGCCGAGUUCGAUACAUGACUCUCGGAGACAACUAUUGUGGCGACGAAUCAAAUCGUAUCCCAAAAGAAAUGGCAAAGUCUUUGCGUACGUUACUAAUAACAUCGGAAGGUGAUAUUUCUGAUAUCAACUUCUCAGACUUGGAAAGUUUGCAUGUUUUACGUCUUGACUCUAAAGUUAUAAAAGAGCUGCCAAGUUCGAUUCAAAAGUUGAUACAUUUGAGAGAUUUUGACAUUUCAAAGACAAGAAUUGAAGUUUUGCCGGAUUGGAUUGGUGAAUUCUUUCACUUGCAGACGUUGAGAGUAGACACGGGAUGUUUGGAGAAACUGCCAAGUACGAUUAAGUACUUGAUUAACUUGAGGCAUCUUUAUAUUACUGAGGAUGUAGAGUUGCCUAUGGGAAUUGGGAGAUUAACUUCUCUCCAAACGCUAACGCACUUUCCAGUGGGCGACGAGAAUGGCUGCAAAAUUGAAGAGUUCGGAAGUUUGAUUAAUCUUAAAGGAGAGCUAUGGAUUGGCAAUCUGGAAAGGGUUCAUGACAAGGAAGAGGCUGGGAAAGCGAAUUUAUUCAAAAAGUCAAAAUUAUUGAAGUUGUGUUUGACAUGGGAUUGGAGAAGAGAAGGUGAAACAAAUGAUGAGGAUGUAUUGGAAGGCCUCCAGCCUCACUCAGAUCUGAGGGAGUUAAAGAUUUUCGAUUACAAAGGCAAAAGAUUCCCAUUAUGGACUGAGAAGAUGUCAGUUCGAGAUGCGCCUCAAGGCUCUUGGGUGCUACUUAACAACUUAAUGUCGUUAGAACUCUGGGACUGCAGAGAAUGUGAAGAGAUCCCAAUGUUGGGACACUUGCCCAAUCUCAAGUCACUCAAAUUGUUUGGAAUGCCUAAGCUGGCAGAGUGGGCAGAAAUAGAAAUUUCGGAUGGAAGUGAAGUGAAGCUAUUUCCUCGCCUCCAACAUUUGUCAAUUAUGUGGUGCCGGCAAUUGAAGAGUGUUCCAAGGUUGGGGCAGUUGCCCAAUCUCAAGUCCCUUGAGUUGAAUGGAUUGAGCAAUGUGAAGUGUAUAAAUUCUUCAUUCUACGGAAUGGUGAACAAGGACACACGCAUUGCUUUUCCAGCUCUCGAAGAGCUCGGAUUGGUUUAUAUGCCUAAGCUGGCAGAGUGGGCAGAAAUAGAAAUUUCGGAUGGAAGUGAUGUGACGCUAUUUCCUCGCCUCCAAUAUUUGGAAAUCCAUGAGUGCGAGCAAUUGAAGAGUGUUCCAAGUCAUGUCUCGUCAUGCCUUGAAGAAUUGAGGAUUCAUACGAUCGGUGUGGAAUGUCUGCCAGCUGAUUGGUUAUUGAGUAACAGCGAGACUCUCUCUUCUUUGGAAAUAAGUUGGUGCCGCAAUUUGAGAGAAAUAUCAGAUAGGUGGGGAGAAGAAGAAUCAGAAGGAAGAAGCUUCACAAUCACAUCCCUCCCUAAAUUCCCUCGUCUAACAUAUUUGGAUAUUCGAGGCGUUCCUAAGUUAAGUGUGGAGACUGUGGAUGCAAUGCGGCGCCUCCAAAUUGAUGGAUUCAAACGCAUUUACCCGUGACGGUGACGCGACUCGUCAUCUUAGCAAACAGUUGAUUCUGAGGAAAGUGAAAGAAGCAAUCAGUUGUGUGUGAUUCAGUGAAGCAAGCGAUCUAGUGAAGAAGGAAUAAUAAUAGGGGAGCUUUUGAAGAGCUUGGAGGCGAGGCAGCCUCAACUAGAGGCGCCAACGAGCUUGCUCGUGGGGACGAACGACGAUAGUGUAGUUGUUGACUGUGAAGAGAAGGAUGAUGACAAAAAUUUAGACAACAAUGUUGAAGAUGUGAAGAUAGUGAAACAGAGGAUUCAGCAGCUGUGGAAGUUGAAUCUAGUCCCAGCAAAAAGGGAGGUAGCCAGCUUUUUCCAUUUCUUGAUGAAUGAUUAAUGCCUAUUUCUUAUGUUUGAAUAUUGAGGCAUGCUAGCUUGAAUUUGAUGAAAUGAUGUUGGGGGUUGUA